CCUACGGGGGGCAGCAGUGGGGAAUAUUGCACAAUGGGGGAAACCCUGAUGCAGCGACGCCGCGUGAGUGAAGAAGUAUUUCGGUAUGUAAAGCUCUAUCAGCAGGGAAGAUAAUGACGGUACCUGACCAAGAAGCCCCGGCUAACUACGUGCCAGCAGCCGCGGUAAUACGUAGGGGGCAAGCGUUAUCCGGAUGUACUGGGGGUAAAGGGAGCGUAGGUGGCAGGGCAAGUCAGAGGUGAAAACCCGGGGCUCAACCCCGGGAGUGCAUUUGAAACUGUCCAGCUGGAGUGCAGGAGAGGUAAGCGGAAUUCCUAGUGUAGCGGUGAAAUGCAGAGAUAUUAGGAGGAACACCAGUGGCGAAGGCGGCUUACUGGACUGUAACUGACGCUGAGGCUCGAAAGCGUGGGGAGCAAACAGGAUUAGAUACCCCGGUAGUC
rnacentral:rRNA from 1 species